GAACCUUCAUUCCUAACUUCUGCAAUUGACCAUGUAGAUAAUAACAGCUUGUGACAUUCUUAUACAUUUGUACUUGGUUUAAACUGCAAAAUAAGCUGUCAAUUAUACAUGUUUAUUUUGUUGUAAUUGACAUUUUUGAAUUCCUGAAUGGUAAAAGAAGGCUUGCAUUUUAACAAUUUAAAUAGAUGUUGAACAAUUGUGUUCCAAGUGCAGUCUUUAAAACUAUAAGCAUGAUUAUCACACCUUGUCUGAAAUUAACCAAUACAGAUUAUUUUGUGUUAAAGCAAGCACUUUAGUACCCUUGAGUACUGUCAGAAUAAAGUUUUAUCUCUGUGUAAGGCUUGAGUACUGUCAGAAUAAAGUUUUAUCUCUGUGUAAGGCUUGAGUACUGUCAGAAUAAAGUUUUAUCUCUGUGUAAGGCAUAGACCAUUCAUCCUUUAUAGAGGUGCAGAGAGGCAUGAGUGUUCUUUUUCUGGGGAGAAACAUUUUUUGAGGACUAAGAUCAAAAAACAUUUUUCACAAUAACAUACAGGAACGAGA
rnacentral:lncRNA from 1 species